rnacentral:tRNA from 1 species
AGGGCUUUAGCUUAAUUAAAGCUCCUGUGUUGCAUGCAGGGGAUGUAAGUUAGUGUCUUGCAAGUCUUA